rnacentral:rRNA from 1 species
GAAGGUGGCCGUGAGGCUUGCUGGAGGUAUCAGAAGUGCGAAUGCUGACAUAAGUAACGAUAAAGCGGGUGAAAAGCCCGCUCGCCGGAAGACCAAGGGUUCCUGUCCAACGUUAAUCGGGGCAGGGUGAGUCGACCCCUAAGGCGAGGCCGAAAGGCGUAGUCGAUGGGAAACGGGUUAAUAUUCCCGUACUUGGUGUUACUGCGAAGGGGGGACGGAGAAGGCUAUGUUGGCCGGGCGACGGUUGUCCCGGUUUAAGCGUGUAGGUGUGUGUUCCAGGUAAAUCCGGUUCACUUUAACACUGAGGCGUGACGACGAGGCACUACGGUGCUGAAGCAACAAAUGCCCUGCUUCCAGGAAAAGCCUCUAAGCAUCAGGUAACAUCAAAUCGUACCCCAAACCGACACAGGUGGUCAGGUAGAGAAUACCAAGGCGCUUGAGAGAACUCGGGUGAAGGAACUAGGCAAAAUGGUGCCGUAACUUCGGGAGAAGGCACGCUGACAUGUAGGUGAAGUGAUUUACUCAUGGAGCUGAAGUCAGUCGAAGAUACCAGCUGGCUGCAACUGUUUAUUAAAAACACAGCACUGUGCAAACACGAAAGUGGACGUAUACGGUGUGACGCCUGCCCGGUGCCGGAAGGUUAAUUGAUGGGGUCAGCGCAAGCGAAGCUCCUGAUCGAAGCCCCGGUAAACGGCGGCCGUAACUAUAACGGUCCUAAGGUAGCGAAAUUCCUUGUCGGGUAAGUUCCGACCUGCACGAAUGGCGUAAUGAUGGCCAGGCUGUCUCCACCCGAGACUCAGUGAAAUUGAACUCGCUGUGAAGAUGCAGUGUACCCGCGGCAAGACGGAAAGACCCCGUGAACCUUUACUAUAGCUUGACACUGAACAUUGAGCCUUGAUGUGUAGGAUAGGUGGGAGGCUUUGAAGUGUGGACGCCAGUCUGCAUGGAGCCGACCUUGAAAUACCACCCUUUAAUGUUUGAUGUUCUAACGUGGACCCGUUAUCCGGGUUGCGGACAGUGUCUGGUGGGUAGUUUGACUGGGGCGGUCUCCUCCUAAAGAGUAACGGAGGAGCACGAAGGUUGGCUAAUCCUGGUCGGACAUCAGGAGGUUAGUGCAAUGGCAUAAGCCAGCUUGACUGCGAGCGUGACGGCGCGAGCAGGUGCGAAAGCAGGUCAUAGUGAUCCGGUGGUUCUGAAUGGAAGGGCCAUCGCUCAACGGAUAAAAGGUACUCCGGGGAUAACAGGCUGAUACCGCCCAAGAGUUCAUAUCGACGGCGGUGUUUGGCACCUCGAUGUCGGCUCAUCACAUCCUGGGGCUGAAGUAGGUCCCAAGGGUAUGGCUGUUCGCCAUUUAAAGUGGUACGCGAGCUGGGUUUAGAACGUCGUGAGACAGUUCGGUCCCUAUCUGCCGUGGGCGCUGGAGAACUGAGGGGGGCUGCUCCUAGUACGAGAGGACCGGAGUGGACGCAUCACUGGUGUUCGGGUUGUCAUGCCAAUGGCACUGCCCGGUAGCUAAAUGCGGAAGAGAUAAGUGCUGAAAGCAUCUAAGCACGAAACUUGCCCCGAGAUGAGUUCUCCCUGAGACUUUAGAGUCUCCUGAAGGAACGUUGAAGACGACGACGUUGAUAGGCCGGGUGUGUAAGCGCAGCGAUGCGUUGAGCUAACCGGUACUAAUGAACCGUGAGGCUUAACCUUACAACGCCGAAG